GGCGUAAACAAAGGGAAGCGAGACGGUGACGUUAAGCAAAUCCCAGAAAUAACGUCCCAGUUCGGAUUGUAGUCUGCAACCCGACUACAUGAAGCUGGAAUCGCUAGUAAUCGCGAAUCAGAAUGUCGCGGUGAAUACGUUCCCGGGUCUUGUACACACCGCCCGUCACACCAUGGGAGUCGGAAAUGCCCGAAGUCAGUGACCCAACCGUAAGGAGGGAGCUGCCGAAGGUGGAGCCGGUAACUGGGGUGAAGUCGUAACAAGGUAUC
rnacentral:rRNA from 1 species